rnacentral:rRNA from 1 species
AGAGUUUGAUCCUGGCUCAGGAUGAACGCUGGCGGCGUGCCUAAUACAUGCAAGUCGAGCGAACGGACGAGAAGCUUGCUUCUCUGAUGUUAGCGGCGGACGGGUGAGUAACACGUGGAUAACCUACCUAUAAGACUGGGAUAACUUCGGGAAACCGGAGCUAAUACCGGAUAAUAUUUUGAACCGCAUGGUUCAAAAGUGAAAGACGGUCUUGCUGUCACUUAUAGAUGGAUCCGCGCUGCAUUAGCUAGUUGGUAAGGUAACGGCUUACCAAGGCAACGAUGCAUAGCCGACCUGAGAGGGUGAUCGGCCACACUGGAACUGAGACACGGUCCAGACUCCUACGGGAGGCAGCAGUAGGGAAUCUUCCGCAAUGGGCGAAAGCCUGACGGAGCAACGCCGCGUGAGUGAUGAAGGUCUUCGGAUCGUAAAACUCUGUUAUUAGGGAAGAACAUAUGUGUAAGUAACUGUGCACAUCUUGACGGUACCUAAUCAGAAAGCCACGGCUAACUACGUGCCAGCAGCCGCGGUAAUACGUAGGUGGCAAGCGUUAUCCGGAAUUAUUGGGCGUAAAGCGCGCGUAGGCGGUUUUUUAAGUCUGAUGUGAAAGCCCACGGCUCAACCGUGGAGGGUCAUUGGAAACUGGAAAACUUGAGUGCAGAAGAGGAAAGUGGAAUUCCAUGUGUAGCGGUGAAAUGCGCAGAGAUAUGGAGGAACACCAGUGGCGAAGGCGACUUUCUGGUCUGUAACUGACGCUGAUGUGCGAAAGCGUGGGGAUCAAACAGGAUUAGAUACCCUGGUAGUCCACGCCGUAAACGAUGAGUGCUAAGUGUUAGGGGGUUUCCGCCCCUUAGUGCUGCAGCUAACGCAUUAAGCACUCCGCCUGGGGAGUACGACCGCAAGGUUGAAACUCAAAGGAAUUGACGGGGACCCGCACAAGCGGUGGAGCAUGUGGUUUAAUUCGAAGCAACGCGAA